rnacentral:rRNA from 1 species
UUUUAUUUGAGAGUUUGAUCCUGGCUCAGGAUGAACGCUGGCGGCGUGCCUAACACAUGCAAGUUGAGCGAUUUACUUCGGUAAAGAGCGGCGGACGGGUGAGUAACGCGUGGGUAACCUACCCUGUACACACGGAUAACAUACCGAAAGGUAUGCUAAUACGGGAUAAUAUAUUUGAGAGGCAUCUCUUAAAUAUCAAAGGUGAGCCAGUACAGGAUGGACCCGCGUCUGAUUAGUUAGUUGGUAAGGUAACGGCUUACCAAGGCGACGAGCAGUAGCCGACCUGAGAGGGUGAUCGGCCACAUUGGAACUGAGACACGGUCCAAACUCCUACGGGAGGCAGCAGUGGGGAAUAUUGCACAAUGGGCGAAAGCCUGAUGCAGCAACGCCGCGUGAGUGAUGAAGGCCUUCGGGUCGUAAAACUCUGUCCUCAAGGAAGAUAAUGACGGUACUUGAGGAGGAAGCCCCGGCUAACUACGUGCCAGCAGCCGCGGUAAUACGUAGGGGGCUAGCGUUAUCCGGAUU